GCUGUGCAUUCACAGAAGGUGCGCCCAGAGCUGGGGGCCGAGAAGGUUUUGCAGGAAGUGUUUUCUGGGCAUGGACAGAUGACGAGGAUUAGUUAGCAGGACCAGGGACCCCGGGUAGCUGGAGUGUAGAUGUAGGGGGCCCUCAGACAUGGGGACAUUGCAGAGGCAGCAGGACCACCGUACUUACCCUGAGGACUGUGAUGUGACCCACAGAGGCCUUCCGAGCGGAGGAGUGACACGAUGGCAUUGGGGGCAUGGCCAGGAGGGUGGGAGCCAGCCCCCAAAGUAACCCAGGUGGGGAGAGAGGCCUGGCCAGGUGGGGGUGCAGGUAGGGAGGCGAGCCGGGAAGCAAGACGCAGGGGUGAGGCCCCAGUUCCUGACAGGCAACAGGGCCCAGGACGCUCAGAGAAGGCACAGUCCUGGAGGACAGGUCUGUUCCUGACACAUCGCAUGUGACGGUCCUUGGACUCCAUCGACCUGACAGCUGUGGGGACCUGGCCGGGGAAUCGGACGCAAAGCUGUAAACAUGUGCCUGUCACGGAAGGGGCUCUAGGACCGCAGGACCCCCGUCGGCAGCCGGCACAGAAGCACACCGCAGACUGGCGUGGAGAAGAGACCCGGGGAAGCAGAGGCCGCUGCUCGGACAUACCGUUGUGUUUUCUGUGGAGAAGGAAGAGGUGGGACACCUCUGUUUGGCCCUGGGCACAGGUAGCAGGCGGGGCACAGGGGCGGGCAGAGGUGGGACCGCUGGGGGAGGGUCUGCUGGGGGAGGGGGGGGGCGGGGGCGGGCUGGGUGUGCACAGGAGGAAGGGGCCGGGAAGGUGCCCAGCAACACGGGUGUGGGGGUCACGGGGCGGAGUGGGGCCGCGGCAAGGGGCCUGGGGUUGAGGUCACCGCACUGACUACUCCGGGCACCACACACAUUGCUGGCAGGGGGCGCCGCUGGCCGGCCGUGGGGUCUUUCAUCUCUCCCUUCUCGUCCACGUGGCGCCCCUGCAGGUGACCGAGUGACCCUGGUGCCCCUGCGGGUGACAGAGUGACCCCAGGCUCCAGGCAGGAGCGGCGUUCAGAGCUGGACAGGCAUCUGGGCUGGGGUGGCCCAGCAUAGGAGGUGUGGCCACACCCCGGGCCCUGCUGGAGGAGCUGUGGCCCCAGAGCCCUGAUGCUCAGGGUGAAGUUGCUUCACGGGCCCCCAAGCUCCAGCUCACGCUGGGAGGCUCCCAGAGCCCGGCCUGCCCAGUCAGGGCCCCACAGCCUGGGGGGCCCCGGCGGAUGUUCAGGCUAAACGGCCCUGCUCUUGGAGGGCCCACCCACCGCAGGCUCCCUUCCCUCCGCGGGCUCCUCGGGGAGGAGGUAUCCAACAGGUAGGCUGAGAGCCUCAGACGGGUCCAGACCCCUGCUCGGGCAGCGCUGCCCCCACCUCGGAGUGAAGGACCGCGGGAUCAGCGCAGCCCUGCGUCAGCACAGCCUGCUGAGCGGUGUUGAAAGUGGCCCGCGGCCCACAGCGACAUCUGGCCGUGCCGCGCAGGGGAGAGGGCGGACAGGCGGGAGAUGGUGGAGGUGGGGCCCGCGGCCCUGUGGCUGAUGCCGCCCCACGUUUCCCUGGGGGCCUUUCCCGCUGAGUCACCUGCAGAAGAUAAGGCCGGAGAGUUCCGCGGGAAAUCGAGGCGUCUCGGGGGCGUGUGUCUGGACCUGCGGGGUCAUCACGUGAGACAGGGUGUUUGGGAGGGAAAGUAGGGGCCCCCACCCCCUACCGCAGAGGAGGGCACCCACGGCCCGUCCCUCCCUCCUCCUCCUCUGGGCCUGGGCCGUGCCAAGUUCGGUCCACCUUGGUUCUCACUCACUGAGAGGCCCCUGGAGGUGACAGUGUGCCUGCGCGGCCCUUGCCUGAAAGCCCGUUGGAGCUUUUCACAAAUGACACGAAAAGACCCCCAGACCCUGCAGGUCCCGCCUCAGCUGCUCUCAGUCAACCCACACGGUUUCCACUCCUGGUCCCAGUCUAACUUCUGGGAUCCAGUGGGAUCCUGUGGGACACCCCUGGUUCCCCCUGGGAUCGCGUGGGAUGCCCCAUUCUCUUCCCAGGUAAGCUGACUAUUGUAAACUCACCAACAGCUAUCACACCCCUGGAUGGUCAGCUCAUGUGUCCGCCUGGCUGGCCCACAGCACCAGCAUUUGGCCAAAUACCUGUCCAGAUGUCACUGUGAGCAUAUUUUCAGCACUAUGUAUCUGGUUCUCUGUCUGGCAAGCAUGUUGGCCUCUUCGUCCAUCAUGGCACAAUUUUCACCCUGUGAGGGUCUGGAGGGAAGCGACCGUCUGGAGUGACUGCGCUGCUCCUUCUGAAGAUAGUGCUAGAAGCCUGGGGAGACCCAGCAGGAGGGGGACCGUGGGGUUGUCUGAGGAGAGCUGGCCCAACAAGUCCGCGUAAAUCAGAGUCGAGUUAAUCCUGUGGCACGCGGGAAGGGGCCAGGGGAGCACGGACUCCGAGAGCAGAGGAUAAAACAGCCACAGCCGGGGCACCGGGGACUGCGUUGGGGAAGAGACGGCCAGCCCCUGCAGGGCCACCCACCACUCGAUGGCUCGUCCCUGAACGCAGCGCCUCACGUAUUCUAGGCAGGGUGUUCUCCCGUCUAUACGCGUGUGACUUCAAAGUACAGUAGCAUGAAGGUGUGUUAGCAACUGAUCAUUUAAAUAACAAGAAAUCAUACACUGAAAAGAAACCCUGUAUCUUUUUCUACCCAAAUAUAAAUAUAAUUUCACGAUAUGACAAACAAGUAGAACUAGAAGCUUCUGUUGCCAUGAGACAUCAUGAAACCACUUCUCACAAACCCACAAGGGCAGCGCCGGCUCAGGCUGCCGGAGGCGACCCACGGCGAGCAGGGAGGCCACCCGCCAAGGGGCAUCCCUCCCCCCCACACCCUCCCGCAGGGCGACUGGAGGGUCCAUGUCAGGCCAGAGGGCCCCUCCGCGCCCAGCUCCUGCCACAGCACAAGGACACGCUGGCCAGCACAGGGCCGUGUUCGAGGAGGGGCAGGAGACAAGGAAAGGAGGGACUCUCCAGCUCCAAGCAUCCCCCACACUCUUCUGUUCUGACCCCUGCCCCCACCCCCUCAAUCUUGGCCUUCGUGCUGGGCCACAGGCAGGGACCUGCCCUCUUUUCCUUUGGUUCUAAGACAUUAGCACCUUAUGUGAUGAAGCCAGUUCCCCUGUGUGAGGCCCCCUGUGCUCCCUCCCAGCUCCUCUGCUCUCUCCCGACCCCUCUGUGCUCCCUCCCAGCUCCUCUGUGCUCCCACCUGACCCCCUC